ACUCUAGAGAUAGAGCUUUCCCCUUCGGGGGACAAAGUGACAGGUGGUGCAUGGUUGUCGUCAGCUCGUGUCGUGAGAUGUUGGGUUAAGUCCCGCAACGAGCGCAACCCUUAAGCUUAGUUGCCAUCAUUAAGUUGGGCACUCUAGGUUGACUGCCGGUGACAAACCGGAGGAAGGUGGGGAUGACGUCAAAUCAUCAUGCCCCUUAUGAUUUGGGCUACACACGUGCUACAAUGGACAAUACAAAGGGCAGCUAAACCGCGAGGUCAUGCAAAUCCCAUAAAGUUGUUCUCAGUUCGGAUUGUAGUCUGCAACUCGACUACAUGAAGCUGGAAUCGCUAGUAAUCGUAGAUCAGCAUGCUACGGUGAAUACGUUCCCGGGUCUUGUACACACCGCCCGUCACACCACGAGAGUUUGUAACACCCGAAGCCGGUGGAGUAACCAUUUAUGGAGCUAGCCGUCGAAGGUGGGACAAAUGAUUGGGGUGAAGUCGUAACAAGGUAGCCGUAUCGGAAGGUG
rnacentral:rRNA from 1 species